UGGCAGGGGUGGUGCGGGGCAUGGCUAUUUUGUGGUGCUACUGUGUUUCCAUCAAAGUCUUCCAUGGGGCAUGGAUCAGGAGGAACUUUUCAAUCAUCGAAAAAUUGGUGAUUGGUCUUCAGAGAUGGUGGUGGUCUGCUAAUUAGGUCCUUUUUUUGGCAAUUGCUAGUUGGAAUGUGGUUGGGGAGGGGGCAUCUGGCUUUCGCAUCCUC
rnacentral:lncRNA from 1 species